rnacentral:lncRNA from 1 species
UGGUUGAUUCUCUCCAUAAGAGAAUUAACAUGGCCAACUGUCGCCAACAUUCUUGCUACCCUUCCUCCGAUUUCUCCAAUCUUGGACUACUUGUCCUGCCCUCUAUUGACUUUUAAACGCCGGCAAAGAAUUUUACCAAAACAGAGGGAAAACAAUCUUCGUCUGCAAAACCCUUCGUAGCCUCGGUGCAGUACAGUACUUUAUCCGCUAGAGGCACUACAAGCACUCCAAGAACUCGGGGUCAGUAGGGAUAGGGCUAAAAGGAUAGCACAUAAUCAACCAUUCGUCUUUAUCUAUGGUCAUAGGUGGAUACUUAUAAAAGAGGGAAAUGCCUAGAAUCUGGAAAAAAAUGCGAGUUUUUUCACAUUUUUUAAAACUAAAUCUGAAUUUUUUUUUCUAAGUCCUUGCUAAAGAAAACAAAAUUCAGAUUUUGUUUAAACGCACACCGGUGUGCGGCCCUACUAAUUGGAGCUCACGCACAACACAUCUGAACAAUCCGAAGCGCUAACCAUUACACCCAAGAAUUGCUAGAGGGGAACGCAUUUAAAUGAUUUUUUAUCCACUGAAAUCUAGUACAAUAUUAGUGUUCCUGCAUGGCAAUGUCUCCAUUUCCUCUCAGUUCCCUUUUACUUUCUGGUAUAAUUUCUUGUGCAGAUGACACAAAACAUCCGAAAAAUCUUAUUGAAUACUAUUUUUGCCAUACAAAUAAAAAAUCAAAUCAAAUAUAAUUGAAGAUUGAAAUAAUAAAACAUUUCGCUUAUGCCAAGAUUUGAACCACUAACACAUAUGUGAUGGGAAUGUUUGAAGUUACCAAACAAUUAUUUACUCAAUUCCAUUUUUCCAAAAAGAAUCAUAUUUUUUUAUUAAAAUUUUGAAUUUCCAACAAACAAACCUCGGCCAUGCAACUUCAACAUAUCGGUAUGCUCUGGUGUGCGGUCCCACUAAUUCGAGCUCACGCACACCGGUUUGACGCCCUACUAAUUAGAGCUCACACACAACACAUCUGAACAAUCCGAAGCGCUAACCAUUACACCCAAGAAUUGCUAGAGGGGAACGUAUUUAAAUGAUUUUUGAUCCACUCAAAUCUAGUACAAUAUUAGUGUUCCUGCAUGGCAAUUAGUAAAACCUCGGCCAUCCCCGUCUACGAAUGAUGUGGCGCCCAUACCUAAUGCAGCACCCGUCCCUGAUAAAAUCAUCCCCGACAAUUUCUUAUCAACUGAUAGUAUUAAUGGUGAAUCAGUUGGUUAUGAUAGUGGUUCUUUUCUUAAAAAAACUCAACAUUCCAAUCGUGCGUCUAAGACGGUAGUUCGUAAAGUUAAGGCAUCGAAAACAACUACUGCCAAAUUAGCGUCGCAUGUAAUGGCAUCGACGCUGGGCCGACGAAAUCCUCGUCGUCGAUUAAGAUGACAAUUUCUCAAGUUCGUACAGUCUUCAUUGAUGAAGCAAACUACUUAUUGACUGAUAGGUUUUGAUCAAUAUUGUCCGUUUUAUUAGUAUUUCACUGAUGUGUUGUUUCUCACUUAGAGUAAACGUUGAAACAAUUGCUGCUAGCAGCAAUUGCAAGCAGCAAUUGCAGCAAUUCUAGCAGCGGUUCUAUUCUUGAAAAAACUAAAAUUGCGAAUAACGUUUCUAAAACUGUUCUGAAACCCAUGGGAUUAGUAAAAAAAAAUCCUUUCUGCUGUCAAUGACUGCUGUCAAAGCAGUGUCGCUUCUAAAUAGCAUGGAUGCUGGACCAACCAAAUCCUCUUCGUCCGCUGAGAUUAUUAGUUUCUCAAGUGUGUUUAGCCAUCAUUGAUAAAACAAAUUACCGACUGAAAGAUUAGUCAAAAUACCUGCUGUUAAAACUGUGCCGCUUCUAAAUAGCACGAAUCCAUACCAAAUCGUAUUCCCCCGCUAAGAAUAUAGUUUCUCAAGUGCCUCCAGCCAACAUUGAUAAAACAAACUACUCCACUGAAAGUAUUAAUGUGGAAUCAAAUGCAGCAGUGGUUGAAUUGUUGAAAAAACCAGCGUUUCAAUUUACGUUUCUAAGACUGUGCUGAAACCCAUGGAAUUAGUCAAAACACCUUCUGUAAAACUAGUGUCGCUUCUAAAAAGCAUGGAUGCUGCACCGACGAAAUCGUCUUCGUCCGCUGAGAUGAUUGAUCGAUGACGAUUAUUGAUCCUUUUCCCCACAUCGCUUUCCCUUUUCCGCAACCACAGCUUCCCCACCAGUUAACCAAUCUAUAAUUGGUUAUCUGUGACUCUGCCGAGUCAGACCCAUCACUCACCUUAUUAUCACCCAUAUGAAUUCCUAUUUUAACUGAAACGAAUCCGAUUAUGAAUCAGCUAGAGGCGCUAGAGGGUAGGCAUAACGUUUUUGCCUUCAUGCGACUCUAGCGUAAGAGAACGGAAACCAAUCCGUUCUACGGCCCUCAAAAAAUCCGUUUUUUAACGACACGGAAUCGGAUUAGUAUCAGUUCACUGGUGAAGACUGUGUUGAGCUAACCAUGUGUGUUUUUAUCUAGGCUAAUAAAUAAAACGUACAUCAAGUUAAGUUAACUAUUUACGUUUUUCUUAAUUUUCUUUCUUCUGGCAAAUGAAAUGGGGAAAAAAAAUUCUCGUACUGAAGAUGCGAUAGAAAGGUUAUGACAAUUGCCCCCAAAAAAGUAUAGUGAUGGGCUCAAGAUAUCAAUUAAGGAGUCCACGAAGAGAGGGCGAAUUCGUUGAGUGAAACGCACGUUGGCUGCACUUGAAAGAGACAGUGGGGCUAACGUAGUUAUGUUUAUGCAUACACCAAAUGAAAAAGUUUCCAGUUUCAGAACUCGUGCUUAUGGAAAUAUAGGAAAACAAUUAGUUGAAACAACCAGCGUUUCGUUUGUGCAAAUUGCAAUUAAAAGCUCAUGUUGCAGAAUUUUAGGCUAACCGUUCAAGUGCUGUGGAAAUUGAAGAUGCUCAGUUAUCAGAUAAAGAUUCAUUUAGAGAAGCCAAUCAUCUUUCUGAAGAAAAAGACGAAAUGAAUCAAGCUAUAGAAAACUUCCAUGUUGGUGGGAAAACCAUAAAUGACCUAAGUUUCGAAGCUAGUGAGGAUUCUGAUGAUGCAGUAAAAUUGACCCGACGAAAAAAAAGUGACAAUGAACCCAAAAAUAAAAAAACAAACAAAUCUUCUGGUGCUAGUGUAACUGAUGAAAAUAACAGCGAAACUUUCACUAAUUCUGUCUCCGGACCAAAUUCAAAACCAACUGGUGGACAUCAACCUCGCAAAUCAAGAUCCAAGAAAUUGAAAAAAACCGCGUUUCUGUGCCCCCCCCCCCCCAAA